AUGGCAACCGACAAUGACACCAAGCUCGCCGUAGCAGAGCUCGGUCCAACCCCCGCGCCGGAGGGCAUGAAACUCUGCACCGUCUGUGUAGCCACGGCCACCCACGACGCCAUGUCUCUGCCGUCACAGCAGGGGCAGUGGCUGCGCGCUGCCGUCCUCGGCGCAAGUGACGGCCUCGUCUCCACCUCGGCGCUCAUGCUCGGCAUCGGCGCGGCACGACCCGCCGACCCGCGGGCGGCGCUCCUGUCGGGCGUGGCGGGCCUCGUCGCCGGCGCGUGCAGCAUGGCCAUCGGCGAGUACGUGUCGGUCCACGCGCAGCUGGACGUGGAGCUGGCCGGGCUCCAGCGGCUCGAGGAGGCGCGCGGGUACCCGGCGGACCGGGCCGGGCUGCCGAACCCGUGCCAUGCGUCGGCGGCCUCGGCGCUGUCCUUCGCGGCCGGCGCGGCGAUCCCGCUGCUCGCGGCGUGGUUCGUGGCAAGCUACGCGGUGCGGGUCGCCGUGGUCGUUGCGACCGCGACUCUGGCCUUGGCGGUGUUCGGCGCCCUCGGGGCGGUGCAGGGCCGCGCUCCCGGGGGGCGGGCUGGGCUGAGGGCCGCGCUGGGAGGAUUGGUGGCGAUGGGGGUCACCUACGGUCUCAUGAAACUGUUCCGGACUCAUUCAGAUUGA
rnacentral:rRNA from 1 species